UACGUAGGGUGCGAGCGUUAAUCGGAUUUACUGGGCGUAAAGCGUGCGCAGGCGGCCCGUUAAGACAGGUGUGAAAUCCCUGGGCUCAACCUAGGAAUUGCGCUUGUGACUGGCGGGCUCGAGUACGGUAGAGGGAGGCGGAAUUCCUGGUGUAGCAGUGAAAUGCGUAGAGAUCAGGAGGAACACCGAUGGCGAAGGCAGCCCCCUGGGCCUGUACUGACGCUCAUGCACGAAAGCGUGGGGAGCAAACAGG
rnacentral:rRNA from 1 species